UCAUCUCAGUGUUCAUGCUCUCUGAUGGGGUUUCUGAGCGCACUCUGUUGGAUUUCCUCUUUCCAGCAGCAGAUUUCAUGUGAAUAGAACAAAACACAAUGGGAAAUGUUUUCUUCAGCAUCAAUGAAUCACCUCACAGUAUUCAUAUUACUUCAAAUACAACAUCAGAGUUCCUCCUCUGAUGUUCAGAGACAAAGACAAGCAUUGAAACGAUAUUUAAAGUUCAGCUCUGAUGGCGAAACUCACAAAAACUGUAGUACCACUAAUCAGGAGAUCUAGAAGGAGUCAUAGUUCCACUAAUCAGGAGGUCUAGAAGGAGUCAUAGUACCACUAAUCAGGAGAUCUAGAAGGAGUCAUAGUUCCACUAAUCAGGAGGUCUAGAAGGAGUCACAGUACCACUAAUCAGGAGGUCUAGAAGGAGUCAUAGUUCCACUAAUCAGGAGGUCUAGAAGGAGUCAUAGUUCCACUAAUCAGGAGGUCUAGAAGGAGUCAUAGUUCCACUAAUCAGGAGGUCUAGAAGGAGUCAUAGUUCCACUAAUCAGGAGGUCUAGAAGGAGUCAUAGUACCACUAAUCAGGAGGUCUAGAAGGAGUCACAGUACCACUAAUCAGGAGGUCUAGAAGGAGUCAUAGUUCCACUAAUCAGGAGGUCUAGAAGGAGUCAUAGUUCCACUAAUCAGGAGGUCUAGAAGGAGUCAUAGUUCCACUAAUCAGGAGGUCUAGAAGGAGUCAUAGUACCACUAAUCAGGAGGUCUAGAAGGAGUCAUAGUUCCACUAAUCAGGAGGUCUAGAAGGAGUCAUAGUUCCACUAAUCAGGAGGUCUAGAAGGAGUCAUAGUACCACUAAUCAGGAGGUCUAGAAGGAGUCAUAGUUCCACUAAUCAGGAGGUCUAGAAGGAGUCAUAGUUCCACUAAUCAGAGCUCCUAAAAUGACUCCACAGACAGUGAACUACUUUCUCCAUCCAGCUGUAAAAACAGACAUCAGCGGCUUCAGACUUGGUUCAGGGGUUCUUCAUGGAAACCAGAGUUAGUGUGAAGCUCAGACAGUGUGAAGGAGCCUUCAGAACAUCAACCUCUAUGGACGGAGGUGUCACAACCCCCUCCUGCUCCUGAGUGCUGGCUCAUUAA